CACUUUUGUAGUGAAUUUCAAGCAUCCUGUUUUGUGUACUAUGGUGCCCGUUAUGACUAGGCAAGUAAUGCCAAUUGAGACAAAAAAUGAUCGUCUUUGCAGGAUCCAGCAAAUAAGAAUGUAGUGAAUUGUGAUGACAAGUUGAAGAGUAUAUUGUUGGGAAAGCCUCAAGUCGAGCUUGCGGAGCUACCAAUGCUUAUUAAACUCCAUUUCCCGAAAACCUCGAAGUAACUGUUUAUAUGAUGGUGAUGGUGAUAAUGUUUGCUUGGUGGAUGCGGCUUGGUUCGGAUCAAAUGAUGGCGGGCAUCGAGAUUUCAAGGUUACGAUCCAAUGUUUUGCCACUUUGCCGACUAAUAGAAUUGAUUUUGAUACUGUCAAAUAUAUUCAUCAAAUCCAGUCAUUAUUUAUUUGCUAAAUUUGACCGGAUUUGAUGAAUUUGAUCUGCUUUAAAAUUGGUUUGUUAUAAUUGGUUGUAUAGUCUUCCUAGUUUUGUAACUUAAUACUGUUAGGUUUGAAAUUUUGGUAGGUUAUGAUGCUUUACUAAGGUGAUGUUUGGUUGGCUGAAAAUAAAGCAAUGAAAGUAGCAUCUUUAGAAAGUAGUUUUUUAUUGGUUGUUUGGAUUAUAAAGUAAAUAUAAAGCUCACUUUAUAAA